rnacentral:rRNA from 1 species
GACGAACGCUGGCGGCGUGCUUAACACAUGCAAGUCGAACGGAAAGGCCUGCUUUCCCUUGUGUAUUGCGGGUACUCGCGUGGCGAACGGGUGUGUAACACGUGACUUAUCUUCCCCCAACUUGGUUAUAAGCCUGGGAAACUGGGGCUAAUUCCCUAUUGUACCGCAGGGUGGUGGCUGUGGUUGACGACGUUUUUCUAGUUGUUGGUGAUGAGCUCGCGGCCUGUCAUCUUGUUGGUGGGGUAAUGGCCUGCCAAGGCGGCGACGGGUGGCCGGCCUGGGAGGGGGGACGGGGACAUUGGGACUGAGAUACGGCCCAGACUCCUGCGGGAGGCAGCAGUGGGGAAGAUUGGAGGAUGUGCGGAGGCCUGAUGCAGCGACGCCGCGAGGGGGAUGACGGGCUUCGGGUUGUAAACUCCUUUGGAAAGCGAGGAAGCCACGUGGUUGGAAGGGUGGUGACGGUAGUGGUAGAAGAAGCACCGGCUAACUACGUG